rnacentral:tRNA from 1 species
GGCUACGUAGCUCAGCUGGUUAGNNCAUAAUGAUGGGGUCACAGGUUCAAAUCCCGUCGUAGCCACCA